UACCGAGGAUUUCCUCGACAGUUAACUGCAGUCGGUUUCUUAAUUCCUCUGCAGUUAACUGUCAAGGGGGCA
rnacentral:pre_miRNA from 1 species